ensembl:lncRNA
CUGCUAAAAAACCUACAUUAAUCACUUCUCUUACAGAUAGCUACAGACCUGUCUCUCUCCUUCCAUUCAUAGCGAAAACCCUCGAAAGAGUUGUUUUCAAACAGGUAUCACUGUUUCUUUCUGUGAGGAGGCAGGUUUGAAAAACACAGGAAUUAUGGUGCAGCCACAAUUGCACAACAGUGCAAGGUCAUUUAUUUCCAGUGUCCACAGUCCCAAAAUACAAAAAUGUUACAAAAUAUUUACAACCAGCGCUUCGCUGAGCUACCUUCCACAAAAACGGAUUUCAACAUGCAUGGCUUGCACUACCAACUGUCCUCCUCAACUUCCCCCUCCUCAGUGAGAGAUAAAUCAACCCUUUUAUAGCACAGAGAGAAAAGAGAGUAACCAUUUGAAGGUAAGUACAAGAUAAGGAGCACUUUUUCAACCUUCUACAAAAAGAACAGUCCAGCCAGCGGAAGGUUCGCGCAUGCUCAGCCCGUUAAAAAGUUCCUGUCUUAAGCAUUUAUGAACCGCCGCCAGUGUUUUCACCCUUCUCAUCUGCUGUACUCGCAGCAGAUCCAACACGGAAGACACCACAAGCAAGAAACCUCACAGCACGAACAGAGACACAAACUGACAAAUACACAGAUAAGUAAAUAAAAGAUGUAAUAAUUAAACCUAUCUGGUGUGUGCAUGUGAUUACUGAAAUGGUUAUAGCAGGGAUAUGUGAAGAUUAAAGUGAGUGUAUGCAUGUAUGCCAACAUAACAGUCGCACAAACCCUAUUUCCCUUUAUGUAUUCCAUCUCUUUCAAGCUUGUACUUAAACAAUGCCUAAAACUUGGUAUUACAAGCACUUCCUGUGUCUGUUUGCCUCUUUCAAAAGAAUCACUUAAUGUAUUCCCCAAUUGCAAACUGACUAAAUGUAAAUGUGUGUACAGGAGUAUUGAGGGUGGAAGAGAGUGUCCUACAUUGACUCCCCCCACGACACUUCCUGGAGGACCUGAGACUCGAAACUCACAACCUUCGGGUUACAAGUCCGACUCUCUAUGUAUUUGGCCACGGCUGAUUGAGCGAGAGUGUGUGAGUGUAUAUGAGUAUAAAUGAGUGAGUGUGUGUGUGGUUGAGAGUGAGUGUGGGCUCCAGGCUGGUGAUUGGGCACUGCUCUGGGCCGCUCUACUCUGUCGGGUGAUUGGGUUAUAGAUGGGCGUCUGCAGCACAUGGUUCAGUCCCGUGAGUCCCGUGAGAGAAGAGAGAGAAGCAGAUGAACAGCUUAGAUGUGUGUUGGAUGUGCUGUGUUUUUCUUUCUGUAUUUUCUUUAGAAUGCUACUGUAUUUUCUACUGUAAAGCACUUUAGAUUAGCUUCUGUUGUGCUCUAAAAAUAAUCUCAUCUCAUAUCAUGUUUUCUAGGUUCGCAGAUGCAUUAGCUCUCUUUUAUUAAUUUGUUCAAAAACACAGACACACACACCUGCAGGAACUCACAUGCACACACACACACACACACACACACACACAAACACACACACACAUACACACACACUCACCUGCAUGCUGUAGACGUCAUUAUCAUAUUCACGUAACAAACACAAAACACUACAAACGAAACACACAUGAAACACUGCACACAUAACGCACAAGUAACUGCACAUGUAACACAAAACAAACCGAAAACACACGGAACACUGCACACAUAAUGCAUAUGUAAUACUGGACAUGUAACACACACUUAACACACAAAACACACAUGAAACACACAGAAAACACAACACACAUAAAACACAUGUAACACACAAAGCACUGCACACGAAACAUGGCACACAUGUAACACACACAAAGCACUGCUAAUCUUACUGACACGCUAUACUGAAAUGCUAUAAUGUUGUUGAUAGUAUUUGGAGAGUAUGCAGUGUGUUUUCAUUAUGUCACUGCGUCCACUGUCAAAACAUUACGUCACUGCGUCCACUGUCAAACACACACACACACACACACACACACAGGUUACUGACACGUCACUCACUAGGGCUCAUCUUAACUGUGUGUGUGUUUGUCUUACAGGUGUGUGUUGUGUGUUUUGCUCUGAUUCGUCCAUACGGCCCUUCUUUGAUGUACAGAUGACUGACAUCACCUAUAAAAUCCUGAAGAGCCUGUUUACGCCUGCAGCUGGUCCCCUCCAUACCUGCAUGCACACACCAGACACACACAUCACACUUGCACACAGUGUUUCCUCACAGCUGAGGAGUGUGUGUUUUAGCAUGACCGGCGACGAUGAAAGUUGAGUUGUCUGAGGAUGUUCAUCAGCUGACUGAUGACUCUGUCCACCCCCUGCAGAGCCAAGAUCAGCUGCACACACACACAGAUGUCAGCAGAUGUUUUGAAGUUGAAUGUAUUUUUUCAAUAUAAAUCAGCAUUUUAAAGCUGUUUGUGACAUUAGAUCAACAUCAUCUGAUGCUUCUGGAAUUUAUAUGUCACCAGAGAUAGGAAGUGAUAAGAAGCGUGUGAGAGAAAGAUCAUCAGCACACACCAGUGAGUGUGUGUCACCCACUUGUGAUUUCUGAUAAACUGCUGAGUGUGUGUGUGUGUUCUCACGCCUCUGCUGACAGGUCCAUAACUGUGUCCUGAACUAUCCGGCUCCUCUAAGUAGAUUGUGAAGAAACACACAGACAUGUCUGAUUGAUGGACAUCCAGUGAACCUUGUUUUGCCUUUGAAUGAAGUUUAUUUUUCUGACCCCCCAUGGACGGAUUUUUUUCAUUUUGAUCAGUUUCAGAAAAUAAGAAUUAAUCUUCUGUUAUUUAAAUGUAUCGUUUUAAGAAUGUUUAAAUCUUUGUUCAGGAAAGGACACAAACGAAAUACAGAAAUCUAAGUAAGAUUUUUUUUUUUUGUAUUGAAUGUUAACAGGUUGUGAAAAAAACAUUUAAGACGCUCCAGCUGUGAAAACUCCCUAAACACUAGAUCCUGCAGAUUCAGACACACGAUGUGAUGAAGGACGGUCACACACACACACACAAACACACACACACACACACACACACUCACACACUCACACACACAAACACACACACACACACUCUCACACACACACACAGACACACACACACACACACACACACACACGCACGCACACUCACACACACAAACACACACACACACACACACACACACACACACACACACACACACACACACACACACACACACACACACACACACACACACACACACACACACAAUAUAUGAUCAGGUCACACAUUCAGUCAUGUUUGAGUUUGCUCUGUGAGCUGAUAUAAUAAAUCGAAUGUUUGAAAGCAGGUAAAUGUAGCCCAUUAUUACUACUAUUAAUAAG